rnacentral:rRNA from 2 species
GAGUUGCGAACGGGUGAGUAACGCGUAGGUAACCUGCCUAUUAGAGGGGGAUAACUAUUGGAAACGAUAGCUAAUACCGCAUAACAGUAUGUAACACAUGUUAGAUGCUUGAAAGAUGCAAUUGCAUCGCUAGUAGAUGGACCUGCGUUGUAUUAGCUAGUAGGUAGGGUAAUGGCCUACCUAGGCGACGAUACAUAGCCGACCUGAGAGGGUGAUCGGCCACACUGGGACUGAGACACGGCCCAGACUCCUACGGGAGGCAGCAGUAGGGAAUCUUCGGCAAUGGGGGGAACCCUGACCGAGCAACGCCGCGUGAGUGAAGAAGGUUUUCGGAUCGUAAAGCUCUGUUGUUAAGGAAGAACGAGUGUGAGAAUGGAAAGUUCAUACUGUGACGGUACUUAACCAGAAAGGGACGGCUAACUACGUGCCAGCAGCCGCGGUAAUACGUAGGUCCCGAGCGUUGUCCGGAUUUAUUGGGCGUAAAGCGAGCGCAGGCGGUUAGAAAAGUCUGAAGUGAAAGGCAGUGGCUCAACCAUUGUAGGCUUUGGAAACUGUUUAACUUGAGUGCAGAAGGGGAGAGUGGAAUUCCAUGUGUAGCGGUGAAAUGCGUAGAUAUAUGGAGGAACACCGGUGGCGAAAGCGGCUCUCUGGUCUGUAACUGACGCUGAGGCUCGAAAGCGUGGGGAGCGAACAGGAUUAGAUACCCUGGUAGUCCACGCCGUAAACGAUGAGUGCUAGGUGUUAGGUCCUUUCCGGGACUUAGUGCCGCAGCUAACGCAUUAAGCACUCCGCCUGGGGAGUACGACCGCAAGGUUGAAACUCAAAGGAAUUGACGGGGGCCCGCACAAGCGGUGGAGCAUGUGGUUUAAUUCGAAGCAACGCGAAGAACCUUACCAGGUCUUGACAUCCCGAUGCUAUUUCUAGAGAUAGGAAGUUUCUUCGGAACAUCGGUGACAGGUGGUGCAUGGUUGUCGUCAGCUCGUGUCGUGAGAUGUUGGGUUAAGUCCCGCAACGAGCGCAACCCUUAUUGUUAGUUGCCAUCAUUGAGUUGGGCACUCUAGCGAGACUGCCGGUAAUAAACCGGAGGAAGGUGGGGAUGACGUCAAAUCAUCAUGCCCCUUAUGACCUGGGCUACACACGUGCUACAAUGGCUGGUACAACGAGUCGCAAGCCGGUGACGGCAAGCUAAUCUCUGAAAGCCAGUCUCAGUUCGGAUUGUAGGCUGCAACUCGCCUACAUGAAGUCGGAAUC